rnacentral:lncRNA from 1 species
GGAGAUUACUAACUUCUAUUCAAGAGAUGUGUCCCAUUGGAUGGCGGAAGCUCUGGUUGCAAUUCAAGAGGUGAUCCUCCCCUUUGUGUGAUCUAGUAAUGCUAUAAUGCAGUGUACUAUAAAAUCUUAUAACAUGUAUGCAUGUACAUCUAUGUGAUACAAAUAUACUUCAUUUCUAUUUUAUAAAACAAAAGUAUGUUAGACAUUUGAAUAGCAUCAAAUACAAUCCACCUUCAAAGUCUUUGAUGCAUUAUACCAUUCACCCGUCAAAUUCUUGUAGGUCAUUUUCUUGCAUAAUAUCAUUUAAUAUUUUAAACUUUUACAGACACUUAGGUGGUAGUCCACUUAUGGUGUGUGAAAAACUAGCUGAACCAUGAACCUGACCUAAGUACAUCUUCUUGUUUGGGUUUGAAUCACUUUUUCUAAAAUCUAAUUUGGCAUCGAUUUGGGAAUCCCUCUCGCACCCACCCACACACACACAAAAUCCACACCGAGCAUUGGAUCAAGAACCACACCCUAGACAUCUCCCCCCAUGCCCUCCCUCCCUCCAUGGGGAAGAGAUGACUCCAUGUCAUAAAAGAGGGCACUCUAGGGCAUAGCUAUAGGUUCCCCCUCUCCCUUCUCUCCUAUCAUCCCUAGGUCCCUAUCUUUUACCCCACCAAGAAGGAGUUCAUCUACAAGAUCCAUCUCCAGAUUGAACCCUUUGGCAUCUGUUACAUCGUGCCCUACAAGUCCAUCUCCAGAUUGAACCCCCCCCACCCCCACACGCGCCCCCCACCACCCCCACAUGCAAAGCCCAGGAUAAUUGUAGGUAGUUUUAGUAUGGCCAGUUCCUUGGAGGACCACCUUAGCAAGAAGAAGAAGCAAAAGGUCAUGAUUGAGGGUGAUCAUUUGGAUCUUUGCCAGCUCUUCACUAUUAUGAAGUAGUAUUGAGAUUAUGACAAGGUCUGCAAGAAGUGAUGGGGAGCCUAUGACAAGGUUUGCAAGGUCAUCUAAUUAAGAAUCUCUUCUAAGCCUAUGAACCCUAGGUCUUCAUCUAGUUUUCUUUCUCAUGGUUGGUUGGUGAUCUUCUUCAUCUUCUUGGUGGGUAACGGCCAUGAAGUUGCACUUCUUUCUCUCAUUUUUUUUUCUUCACACUGUAUUUUGUUCUUUUUCUUAGUAAUUUAAUAGAAACCUACAAAGCCCAUUUAGCCUAACCCAUUUGGUAGAAGCCCAUUUAGCCUAGCAACAUGAUGAAUUGAAUCGAAUUUUACAGGUUGGUUUGUACCAAGUUUCACAUAUGGUUGUUUCGGUUUCUUUUUGAUUUUAGAAAACUAAUUCAAGUUAGUUUGGUUUCAAGAAUUACCCUAAAUCAACUCGACCUUAAUAUGCAUAUUCCUAAUAAAAUUUACAUGCAUAUGAAAAGUCCAUGCUUGGCUAUGCUAAUCAAAUCAAAGCAUUAUAGCUUAACUAAACUGACACAUUUUUAAUAUAAAAAACUAGUUAUUGUUGUCCAAUUCACAAAUGGUAUUUACCAUGUUUAGGGUUUUAUUUUCUUACUCUUUACAACAAUUUCGAUAAUUAAACAAUUUCAAAACCAAGCUGAGUGCAUUUGACCAAGUUCGUUCCAAACACUUCCAUUUCUAUUUGUUCUUUUGCUUCGACUGUUUAGAGGGAGACUAGCAUGCCAAAAAAAUUUGUUGGCGAGCGAAGAGUGGUGACAAGUCUGAUGGCUAGGCCAAGUAGAUGGAUGAGUGUGCCACGAGCAUUGCAUUAGUAGAAAAGAGGAUAAUCGAAUGGAAAAUGAUUUGGAUAGUGUAGGUCCAACUGCCUUGAUAUUCAAGGAUUUUCACUAUCAUCAUAUUGCCUGUUUGAAGGUAGAUAAAUAGAGUUGAUAUGGUUUAGUCGGAGCUAUGGUUGAAGAAUUACAUUACUCCUAAGAUAGAGUCUUACUGGUAGUUUAAACGUAAGAUAAAGUAAAGAUAAUGAGAAUAAAUUAAAAAUAAAUUGGCUUGAUUGCUGUAUCAAAGGAUUGUUCUUUUAGCAUUGUAAUAUUUUUAUAAAAUGAUCCUUAUUAACCAUCUUGACACCUAUCCUUGCCAUUGCAUACCACAUGGGCACUACUGCCCAGAGUAGUAGGUAAUGCUACCACUCCACUCAUAUCCGAGGUAGUGGUAAGAUGAGUGCCAUUAAUUAGCAAUAUUUUUAAAUCGACCUGGACCAACUGACUGGUUAAAUCGAAAUUUAGUCACUUAUUUUGUCUAUUUCAAAUGAUAUUUUAAAAAUAGUCGAAACUCGAUCAAUUAGAUCGAUUGUCGGUUUGGUUCUCACAUUUUUUUUUGAGCUUACAAGUUCUUGCAGGACCACUCCGCUUGCCUCUCAUGUCAUAUCCCUCUCUUCAUCCCUUGUGAUGCCUCCUUUAUGGACAUCGUCUCCAAGGUUGCCAUAGUCGUCAAGAUGGCUACCUUCAACAAUACCACCAUCAUCCAUUGCAACACCUCCCCUGCCCAUCAGACUGUCAUUGUCCACUUUAUCAAGUCCUAUUACAUCUUCUUCAUCAUCGAUCUUGCAUUCCUCUCUCACUCUAACGCAUCGCAUACCUCACCGAUUUCAACUCUGCCCGCUAUGGAUUGGUCACUAAGUCUGACACCACAAAGUCGAGAGUUUCUCAUUUGAAAAUCACUAGAGUCCUAAUUUUUAUCCCCUUCCACUCUCCUCUUGAUCGAGUUGUAAUAAAUUGCUCCAUCCAUCUCCCUCAAAUUCAGUGAGUGCAAGGUGUCCUUUGACUUCCUUGUCGAUGAUAACUCUGAUGAUGAUGAUGGUAGCCUCUUCUUCUGAUUGACCCUUGAUUUUGUCCUCUUGAAUGGCAAUGAAGAUGGCUGCUUAACUCAUUGGAAGCAGAAAUCCAUGGCAUCCAAGAAAAAGUUGGUCAGAGCUAGGCAUUUUGGUAGGAUUGGACCAUCAGAAGCUGUCUUUGGUCAAGAAUGAUCACUAUGAGGAUGGGAUGGGAUUUGGCAUCUUUGAGAGUAGAUUGGUGGAGUUUGUGUGUGAGACCAUGGUGGUGGAGUUAGUGCCGGAGCCACAGGGCUCCAAAGUGAGGUAUGUUUAAGGCAGAGGACUAUGAAUGGAAGUGUUAAAAAUGUGCUUGGUGAGGAGGAGACUAGCAUUAGGAAGAGUUUGGCAGGACAAUGAGGAUCAAAAUCUAAAGGAAAGUUCAUUAGGGAGAGUUCUUAUAUUAGACUAGAGGUUUCACUGUUUGAGUCGGGAAUCAGAUAACUUGCUGUUUCACUGUUCGAUUUGGUCUAAAAACUUUGUUAAUUAAUUCUACCAUUUGUUAGUGUGCCAUAUAUCUCACUGUUUUCUUACAUGGUAGGUUAUGUCACCACUCUUCUCGCUUUUUGGAUAGUUUGGUUAUUCCUCUGACAUCAUGGAUAUGGCAACCACCAUCUUCAGACUUUGCUCUAUGGAAUUUUUUAUCCUAUGACAAUAGCCCUUGCUCCCUUUAAUCUAUACCAUAAUCACUCGGCCUAUAACCUUGGUGUUUUAGUUUAUAACCUUGGUGUUUUAGCUUGUAAUCUUGAUCUAUAUAAUCUACUUGAAGACCUAUUACUCGAUCUAUUUUGGAGGAUCUUAUAGGGUUUAUUAUUUGAUUGGCUUCUGAAAUAUCGUUGUCGGUCUGGAUAUGGUGUAAACAAUGCUCUCCCAAUCUCAUUAGUCCACAAUCAGAAAGGAUGAUGGAACGUAUCUGACACCACAUCCAUCAACCUCUUAAAUGUCAUUCAAUUUGGCCGAUUUGAAGAAAAGGUCAAUACAGAUCUGUCAAACUUGAUCAACAAGUAGAAAUCAUAGAAGAUUUGGAGGAGGUAAGACCCACCAUCAUAUUUGCUUAUCAGCAUAGAUACUUGAUAUAUGUAUCAAUUCACACAGUCUUGAAGACUUUCAUUGAGAAAGUUGCCCCAUAGCAUAGAAAUUUACCGUGCAUGGUUGUUGAUGAAGAGUAUGUGGUGGUACUCCUUGCGAUGGUUGCCAUCAAGCUAUUAAGAUAGAGAUAGGUUUCACAGUAGGCUGGUUGAAUUGGUGCCCAUCAUCUGUUGCCUUUUGGGGACAAUCUUCCCUAAUAGUGGAGAUUUGUUGUUGACUUGUUGGUGUGAUUCCAUCGAUAUUUCUUUCAAUUAGGGGUAGUAAUUGGGUCAGGUCGGGUUGGAUAUGGGUCGAAUCAAUAUGGGUCAGAUCAAAAAAUUAUCAAUACAAAUUUAUUUUAUUUAUUAAUUAGGUCAAAAAUUCAAAUAUGAAUCCAACCUGUUUAUUAAACAGGUAAUCCAAUCCAAUCUGUUUAAUCUAUCUAUUAAACAGGUCAAAUUAGGUUAAAUAAGUUAAACAAAUCGGGUUAAAUGGAUCAGAAACAGAUGAAGUAAGUUUUAAACAGAUUAAAUAGGUCUUAAAUGGGUUAAACAAGUUAAACAGAUCGGAUUAAAUAAAUCAGAAACAGGUUAAACAUGUUUUAAACAAGUUAGAUAGGUUAAAUAGGUUAUCUAACUCAAUCCGACCUGAAUAUUAAAUGGAUUAAAUAGGUCAGAUAUCUAAAACUCAAAUCCGAUCUAAAUAUUAAAUAGGUUAAAUAGGUCGAUCUAUUUAUAACCUAAAUCCAUUUAAUCUAAACCCAAAUCUAUUUAUGGCAAGUCGAACAUGGGUCGGGUUAGUGGGUCGAAUCAUAUUUUGUUGGCCCUACUUUCAACAUCCAUGCAUGGAUUAAGAUGGCUGAAGCCUACCUUUCAACAUAUAUCUAUUGCCACCGCUCUUCAUUUCUUGGAUAGUUUGACUAUUCUCACGUCAUAGAUAUGGGAACCACCAUCCUUGGACUCUACUCCACUAGAGUUUUUAUCCUAAGCUGAUAGCUUUCAUUGCCUUUGGUCAAUACCACAAUCACUUAGCCUAUACCUUGGUAUUUUGGCCUGUACCCUUAGUCUGCACAACCUACUUGAAGACUCUCUACUUGGUCUGUUUUGGAGGGUCUGCCAAGGCUUGUUGUUUGAUUGGCCUUUGGAACACCAUUGUAGGUUUGCAUGUGGUGGAAACAACUUCACAUGAUUUUAUGUACAUAAUUACAAAAUAUCAUUAGCCGCCUAAUUGGCUAUGCUUUGUUUGAGUUCAAACAUUCUUAAAGUAUAAAAUAUAGUAGCUCAUGAAGUUUUGCUGUAUACGCAUCACACAGUUGUGGAAAGGAGCCUACCGACAUGUGUUGAUAACUUUUAUACUAAUUAUCAAGCAAAAAUAUAGGAUAUAAUUUAUUUCCUUUUUACUAAUAAUUGAUCGCCUAACGAUUUAAACAUGAAUGUAAAUUUGAGAUACUUUUGCCUUUAUCAUGUUGGAGUCAAAUAAGUAAGGUUUGGGUGCAGAAGAAUGUCUCAGCAAUCUUAUAUUGAAAAAGUUUUCUACUCUUACAUAUAAUUUUGAAAGUUUUUAUUGAUAAUUCAAAGUAAUUUGGGAAAGCUUUUUUUUUUAAAAGCUUAUACAAUGAGCACAAUUUUUGUAAUUCCAUGUUGUCCAUUUUAUAUGGGAUAUUUCAAAUCUAGAAGAUUAUUCUUUGUUAAUAGGCAGUCUUGCACGAAUGCUCGGACAAGAUCCCAUUAAAUCAUGUUAAUAUGAAGGAUCUGAAUUCAACAUUUGAGAAAGAUCUUACUUUAGCUGCAUUGGAUUUGUUCUCUGCACACCCGCAACGAUAAUUCUCUGUCUGUUGCACUGAUUCCUUACCAAUAAACUAAGGGUAUGUUUGGUUAUACUUUUGAUUUUUGAUUUUUAAAAAAUAUUUUUUAUAUUUUUUGAUUUUUACUAUUGAGUAAAAGCAAAAAGUAUAUUUGGUAACUACGUUGCUGUAAAGCAAAAAGCAACGUUUGAGGAUUGGCAAGUGAAGAGCUCGAUGAAAAAAAAAAGAUUCAGGAAGGGAGGGAGAAGGAGAUUGGAAGGUGAAGAGCUCGACGAGAUAGAAGAGUUCGGGAUUUUUACUUUUUGAUUUAGCAUUUUAAAUGUGGAGAAGAAAAAAAGCAGAAAAGUAAAUUUUGGAAAGCAAAAAAUUUUUACUUUAUAUAUAAAGUAAUUAUUUUGAUUAUUUUGAUUUUUGCUUUUUGCUUUUCAUGGUGUUACCAAAUAUUGCUUUUUGAUUUUUAUUUUUAAAAAUUAAAAACAAAAAAAAAAAUUUAAUGGCUAAUCAAACGCACCCUAAAUGGAUGACCGUCUCUUUGCAAAGGAUUAAUUUGGUGUGCUUAUGAAUAAGAGUAACCUAUCAAAAAUCUUGUUCUAUUAAAAGAUGGAAGGGGUGCUUUUGAGGACCAUGGUAAAUUUAAUGGUCAUAAACAUUAACUGAAGUGAGUGGUUUGUUGAACAUGACAAGGUUGUGUUUCUGCAAGUGAAGGUUUUUCUAGUAGUCAUGCUUCUGGAUGAAUAUAUGUCCCCAUAGAAAUUUCUAGUUGGGGCUUUCUUUGUUAAGAAAUACAUCCAUGUUGAUGGACUGGUUUUGUAAUGAAGAUGCAUUCUAGGGUAAGUUGGUUGUCUCCAAAUUAGUUGAACUGAUACAAGUGGGCUGAUGUAGGAACCCAUUUUAGGGUUGAUUCUGUGGUUGAAUACAGCUUGACAAUGAACACAUUGAUUCAAAAGAAAACAAGGGCCUUCAACUUUUUGAAGAAUAAAGCAAACUCUUUGAGAGAAGCAGAAAGCUCAUUAUUGAAAAAGGGGAAGACAAUUACAACAAUUUAGGCAAAAGUUAUUACAUCGAGGACUACAAAGUGAAGACUGAAUCUCAUAUGACUGGAUGCAGAUCGAUUGGAAGAAGGCUAAAAUUGCCUUGACAUCAUCACGACAACCCUUUUGUGAGCUAAACAUGGUGUUGCAUCUCUAAAUAGAUGCAUCCGUCCUGGCAACGUAACCAACAAGCCUUGUCCCAUCUACAUGGGUUUGGCUUUAUUGAUCAAGGUAUGAUAUGCUGAAAGUUGGAGGCUUUUUUUUUUAACAACUUUCAGAAGUCUAUUUUGAGGACAAUAACUAUUUUCUUGCAGCCCAAAUAUUACCAUGUGUUUGGGAGGAAGUCUUUCAUCAGGCUAGUCGUGUUGCGAGUUGCCUCAAAAUUUGUAUUUAGGACUUGAUAAUUUAGUCAAAACUAAAAUUAUUCAUUGGAAGAUAUUUAUAUCUCUGUUACAUCUAUUGUUUUCUGCCUGCAGAUUGUGCUUUACCAUCUUCUUCUUGAGCCUAAUCCAGCAAUUAUGAUAAAUUCAGUUCUUUCUCAUCUUGUGCCAUCUAUGUCAUGUAUAUAAUGCUUGAGGUGCUUUGGGACAUCCCGCUUUUAUGGUCCCCAUAUGCUUCCCUCUCUAUAAUGCAUUAACUUUUAGCAUCUCUUUGUGUCGUUGUAUUGCCUCCAAUCCUCCAUAUUUGGCUACAUAACAUCACCAAACUUUGUUAUCACCAUCAGCUUUUUAGUAUCCUUCUUCACAAUUCUCUCCAUCGCCAUAAAAAAAGUAAUGAGACAUAGUGCCCAACGAUAAAAAUGUGAUUGAGAGCCUUAAAAUCCCAACUUGGCUAGGGGAUGCUUUCUGUGCAUGCUGCACUGUUGAUGAUGUUCUUGCUUUUAUUUUUUUAAACCAAUACAAGUUGAAGUUUAAGCCCAGUUUUGGAUGUCUAUAUGAAUUACGGUCAAGAGGUUAAAUUAAAUUCAAAUCCAUAAUCAUUAUCAGUUAUCAGCUUGAUUUUAAGUUUAACGGAGAGAAUUCUAAGAGAUUAUAGCUGUGCAUAGCACAACUACGAAUUCGACUUCAAAUUCGAGUUCUAUAAAGCUUUGCUAUCACAUGGCAUAUGUUGUAAAUUAACAUUCAAUUUUCUCUACUUGCUUGGCAUACCCCUUUGUUUAAAAUAUGAUGUGUUUUGAUACAGUGCAAAAGGAUAUACAGCUGGCAAGGCGAAUUGGUGGGAAAAGGCACUGGUGAGAUGAGACAAGUUAAAACAUACUCUCCAUAGGAUUGAUGGAUUGUUGUACUAUUAGCCAUUGUCUUUUUCUGAUAUCUAACUUUUUAAGUCAUGUAUCAUUCUACCCACCUCUGCAAAUUUGGAGUUCCAAGCCAACCUAGCAACUUGAUGUGCUGAAAAAUUAAUUUGUAAUGCAGAAAAUAUUAUUUUACUUGCCUGGCAACCUUGGACUUUCUUUGAUGUCAUUGAGAGCUUAUAAGUUUGCUAACCAUUAUUACCGAAUGGCGAUUGCUCGAUAUUCGUUG